GACGAACGCUGGCGGCGUGCCUAAUACAUGCAAGUAGGACGCAGUUGCGAACGGGUGAGUAACGCGUAGGUAACUACCUAUUAGAGGGGGAUAACUAUUGGAAACGAUAGCUAAUACCGCAUACUAGUAGAUGGACCUGCGUUGUAUUAGCUAGUAGGUAGGGUAAUGGCCUACCUAGGCAACGAUACAUAGCCGACCAGCAAGGGUGUACAGACACACCGGGACCUAGUCCCGGCCAAGACUCCUACGGGAAGCAGCAGUAGGGAAUCCGCGGAGAUGGGGGGAACCAUGACCGAGCAAGGCCGGGUGAGCGAAGAAGGUUUUCGGAUCGUAAAGCACGGUUGUAAAGGAAGCGGUACUUAACCAGAAAGGAACGGCUAACUACGUGCCAGCCGCCGCGGUAAUAC
rnacentral:rRNA from 1 species